GAUGAACGCUGGCGGCGUGCCUAAUACAUGCAAGUCGAGCGAACAGACGAGGAGCUUGCUCCUCUGACGUUAGCGGCGGACGGGUGAGUAACACGUGGAUAACCUACCUAUAAGACUGGGAUAACUUCGGGAAACCGGAGCUAAUACCGGAUAAUAUUUUGAACCGCAUGGUUCAACAGUGAAAGACGGUCUUGCUGUCACUUAUAGAUGGAUCCGCGCCGCAUUAGCUAGUUGGUAAGGUAACGGCUUACCAAGGCAACGAUGCAUAGCCGACCUGAGAGGGUGAUCGGCCACACUGGAACUGAGACACGGUCCAGACUCCUACGGGAGGCAGCAGUAGGGAAUCUUCCGCAAUGGGCGAAAGCCUGACGGAGCAACGCCGCGUGAGUGAUGAAGGUCUUCGGAUCGUAAAACUCUGUUAUUAGGGAAGAACAAAUGUGUAAGUAACUAUGCACGUCUUGACGGUACCUAAUCAGAAAGCCACGGCUAACUACGUG
rnacentral:rRNA from 1 species